GUGCUCUGUGGGCGGAACUCGCUUUGUGCAAGGCCGGCGCUGAUUGGCCGGCGUACGCGCGGGUUCCCGAACGUUUCUGCGUUGCCUGCUCUCGCGGCGCCUGCGCCCUCUAACUGAAGUUUUUUGGCGCCGGCUGGGCCCAGAGCGCGGGGGCGACGUAAUCGCGCGGUCUCCUAUUCCUGGACACUGCUAGGUCCUAUAGGCCUUGGAGUUCACGGAGGCGCCGCGCACGGCCCCAGCCUGCGCUUCUCGCCGGGCCUCCAGGCGGCCAUGGAGAAAAGGGUUCGCUCUGUGUUCCUGCUGAUGAGCCCAAAAGCGCCAGAAGUUCAGGGCCCGCGGAGUUCUCUGGCCUCUCGGGAUGAGCGCGGAUGAGCUGGGGGCCUGAAACAUCCCCUGGCUGCAGGUGAUUCCCUCCCGGGCCACGCGCCCGAAGCUGCGACCUGAUAGCUGGUGAUAAAGGCAGUAGUGUCUGUUCAUGAGCAGUGCACAAGCAGCCCGUUUCAUACCACUGUAUGGGGGGCAAGCUCCAAGGGGACUUCGUGGAGGUGACAGAGCGGGUGGGCCGAGAAGAGGGACGGGGCAGGCUGACCACAAAGUUGGGCCUUUGGCCACCCACAAGUUCCUUCUUAGUUACUUGGUAGUAAUGCACCCGUUAAAAUGCGGUGGCUGCCAAGUCAUUAAGUCAGUAGAGCCAAAGGGAACACAGUCUUUUGAGUUAUGCUUUUGCCAGGUACACAGAUAAGUUGCCUUGUGGGAAACAGCAAUCCAGAGCACGUCCUUCCAUAGCUAGGUUAUUUCCGGGGCAUCUGAUUCCUAUCUGCCCCCACCGAGCCAGGAUACCUGCAGCUCCGGAGGUGUUGGUUAAAAAUCGCGCUGGAGGACUGGGGGUAGGCCCCUGAUAAGCGCUUGCCUAGCAUGCAGGAGACUUCGGGUCCAAUCUCCAACAUCGAAAACAAAAAUCUCUGGAGAUCUUCAAUCAAGAGGACUGUGUUGGGUUCCUUGAUUGUAUUUUAACAAGGGCCCAAGGGAAUUGUGAAGAGUAAUCAAAUUAUUUUGCAGUUUUUACCAGCACACCCCCGAGACUCUAUAGGAAACCCACAGCUACCCACUGGCUCUCUGAUCAGGGCAGGAGACUGGGAUCCGUCCGGUGAUUCCACACCCUAUCCUGUGGUCUGUGGAGAGCCUCCUGAGGAAGUUCACACUUUGAGCUCUGUGGAAUAGGGGCCAGGGGGCUAUUUCAGGGGUGGGGAGGUGGCCAGGGACAGAGAAUGGCAUGAGUCAAAAUGUGGAAUAAAACCGUCAGGCUUAAGCACUGUUGGAAAGAGCAGGAAUGGUGAGCAGUGGGCAUGAUGAAGUGUCAGGGAUGAAUUCCACAGUACAGUACUGCUUGUCAUUCAGAUCUCAGUGUAUAUCACCUCCUAAGGGGCCUUCCCCAGCCCUCAAUGAAAUGUGCUGCCUGGAGACUAUCACACUGAAAUUGAAUCCCCUUAGGUACUUACUUACUUACUCAUAUACUUUCUUUGCUGUUUGCCCCUCCCCCAUCACGAAAACACUGUUCUUUGCUAUAUUCCUGGUGGCUCAAGCAUUGCCUUGCACACAGUAAUGCUGAAAAUUGCUUGCUAAAUGCAUGAGUGAAGUAGGCAGAAGCAGAGGGAGAGCUGGUACAGCCUGGAGUCAAGUCAUGUUGCUUUGGAGUCUGGGGCAUCAAGAUAGCAAUGCCUAAUACUUACAUAAUGCUCCAAGUGCCAGGCUUUAUCCCAGCUCUUUGGGGCUGGGGCUGUAGCUCAAUGGCAGAGUGCUUGCCUAGCACAAGUGAGGCACUGGGUUCAAUCCUUAGCAUCACAUAAAAAUAAAUAAAAUAAAGGCAUGUUAUCCAUUUACAACUACAAGAAAAUUUUUAAAGAAAUCAUGAAUUCACAAAUUAAUUAUGAUUCUAAAUAACCUGAAAAUGUUAUCAGAGUUUUACAGAAACCAGGGCAUCAAAAGGUAAAUUAACUUGUCCAGAGUCACACAGCUAAUAAAUGGAAGAGAUAGGACAUAGAUAACAACCCUGAUAGAAACAAAAGAAUAAUAAAAUUUAUAGAUCAGUUUCCUUUCAUGAAGAGUCCUGCCCUUAUGACAUUCUUUUGUUUACCUCUGUUAUCACAGCAACUGGUACAGUACUGGACACACAACAGAUCUCAGCAAACAUGAAUUGAAAAGUCAGCCAGACACAGUGGUGCAUGCCUGUAACCCCAGCAGCUUGGGAGGCUGAGAUAGGAGCAUACAAGUUCAAAUCCAGCCUCAGCAACAGCAAGGCACUAAGCAACUCAGUGAGACCCUGUCUCUAAAUAAAAUACCAAAUAGGGCUGGGAAUGUGUCUCAGUGGUUGAAUGCCCCUGAGUUCAAUCCCUGUUACCAAGAAAAAAAAGAAAAGUCAGUUACAAAUAUACCACAUAAGAUUUAAAAAGAAAUAAACAUAAAAAACCAACUGAGAAACUGCUCUGUUGGACCAGUUUUCUUGUCUGUAAUAUGGGGGUGAUAGUAGUACCUGGCUCUCAGGGUGUGAUGAGUGUUAAGUGAAAUAUUGCACAUUUUUUGUUUUUUUGCUUUUGCUGGUACUGGGGAUUUAACUAGAGCUCUCUAUCACUAAUCCAUACCCCAAGCCCUUUUUACAUUUUUAUUUUAAGACAGGGUCUUGUGUGUUGCCCAGGCUGGCUUUGAACUUGAGAUUCUGCAUCAGCCUCCUGAGUUGCUCGGAUUACAGGCAUAUACCAUCUUACUCUGUUUCGUUUUUGUUUUGUUUCUUUCAUAACACCAUUUCUUUUUUUUUUUAAGUUGGUGCCUUUUUUAUCUUCCACAAUUUUAAAAUUUCUAUUCUUUUAGAUAUAUAUGACAGUAGGGUAUAUUUUGACAUAUUUACACAAACAUGGAGUAUAUCUUAUACUAAUUAGAACAAUUUAUUUAUUUUAAUCCAUUUUUUAAGAGCAUAUAAUAAGCUCAGGAGGGAAGAUGACUGUUAUAGCCUAUGAGAAAGAAGGAGGGUUAGAAAGAGAAGAAUUGAGAUAAUCUUAAGUGAGGAAGUUUUCUUGAAUGAGGGGUCCCCUGUCCCAGACCAAUUGUAAAAUAAGGGUAAAGGCGGACAUUGCACAGAGGUUCUGGAGAGCAGGAUUCUUGUCUGGCUCUGCCUGUGCAUAGGUGCUCUGCUCGGCCAGUGAAUGGGGUGCACAUAUGAGAAUUAAGGAAAUUCUGGUCUGCCCUGCUGGUCUCUUGUCUUUCUUCCCAGGGAAAGGGAAGGAAGGCUGGAUAGGAGUUUAGUGGGCAGAGGCAGGAGAGAAGGAAUGGACACAGUCUCAAACUCCAAAGGAUUGAAUUGGUAAGUAGCAGCAGAAGAAGGAACUGCCUUCAGCACAGCUGACUGCUUUGAACAUGUUAAUGCCUGGGUCCUUGGAUGAGUGAAAAUUGUAAAUGGAAACCUGCCUGGCCUAAAAUGAGUGAGCAUAUGUGAAAUACUACCUUCUUCCACAUGAUCUUGGACCUCAGAUUUUCCUUUUUUUUUUUUUUUUUUAAUAUUUAUUUAGUUAGUUAGUUUUCAGCAGACACAGCAUCUUUGUUGGUAUGUGGUGCUGAGGAUCGAACCUGGGCCACACCCCCAGCCCUCAGAUUUUCCUUUUGUUGUUUGUUUUUUGUGGUGCUGAGGAUUGAACCCAGGGCCUUCCACAUGCAAGGCACACACUCUACCAACUGAGCUAUAUCCCCAGUUCUCAGACUCUCGUCUUUUAAGUAAAGGUAGUAACUCCUGUUCCUCUAUGCCUAGGCACUACGAGUAAGGCAAAGACGAUCACACCCACAUCCUUUUAAGAUUCUGACUCCAAGAGCUGAGAUCCUGGAAAGGAAACCAUCUUUGGGCUGCUCAAAUGCCCAGAAACUUAAGGAAAGCCACUUCAGCUUGACUCCCUUGCUGCCAGGGUCUGAGUACUGUCCCCAUCCCAAGCUGUAACUGAUAAGACAGCAUGGGGGUGUGGGGGGAACUAAGGUGGUUGGUUUGUUUCCAAGUGCUGCUCUUAAUUUUGAAAAGAUUUAAAAAGAUGGACAGUAAAUAAGUCUCCCUCCUGUCCAUAGCUCCUAGUAAGGCAGUGCCAGAAGCAGUCUCUUGUGUGUCUUCCACCUUCAGACUAUGCAUUUACCAAUAACUAUAUUUAUUAUUUUAAUAUAAAUGUUAUACUUGAUGUACUGUUCUGAACUCUCCCUUCUUUUUAAAUUAAUUACAUUUUGUAACCCAUCCCACAUCAGUAUAAGUAGAGCUGCUCCUUCUUUUUAAAAGCUACAGCAUUCUCCUUAUGUGGAAGGAUCACUUUAUUUAACCAGCUGCCUCGCUGGAUGUGUUGAAUUGUUUCCUACGUUUGGCUAUUACUACAGACUGCUCUAACCCUUUUACAUACUUUGUUUUACAUGUAUACAAAUCACAUCUGUAGAAUGCUUAAAUGGUGCUGGGUCAAAAAGCAUGACGUUUGGGGGCUGGGGUUGUGGCUCAGCGGUAGAGCGCUCGCAUAGCAUGUGUGAGGCCCUGGGUUCGAUCCUCAACACCACAUAAAAAUAAACAAAAUAAAU
rnacentral:lncRNA from 1 species